AUAUAAUUAGGUCUUUCCACUUUUCCGUGGAAAGACCUAUUGGAUUUCUUCUGAUUAUUAUUAGGUCUUUCCACUUUUCCGUGGAAAGACCUAUUGGAUUUCUUCUGAUUAUUAGGUCUUUCAACCUUUCGGAUGAAAGACCUAUUGUUUUUGUUCUGAUUAUUAUUAUUAGGUCUUUCAACCUUUCAGGUGAAAGACCUAUUGUUUUUGUUCUGAUUAUUAUUAGGUCUUUCAACCUUUCAGGUGAAAGACCUAUUGUUUUUGUUCUGAUUAUUAUUAUUAUUAGGUCUUUCAACCUUUCGGUUGAAAGACCUAUAGGUUUUGUUCUGAUUAUUAUUAGGUCUUUCAACCUUUCAGUUGAAGACCUAUUGUUUUUGUUCUGAUUAUUAGGUCUUUCAACCUUUCAGGUGAAAGACCCUGAUUAUUAGGUCUUUCAACCUUUCAGGUGAAAGACCUAUUGUAUUUGUUCUGAUUAUUAUUAUUAUUAUUAUUAUUAUUAUUAUUUUUUUUCUUCCGCCAACUUUUUUUUCCUUCACUGUUUUUUUGUUUCGCAAGAUGUCGCUUAGAUAUAUGGUAUAUGAUAUCGAACAGUUAAUACGCUUCUGAAACUGACACCGCGUAACAAAAACCUUUACCUUGUAAGAGUUAUCUCCCCGAACACUGUUUUUCUUGUUAUCUCUAAGGCUUCGCAACCGUAUAAGAAACCGACAAAUUUAUUUUACCAAAUUGCUCGUUACAUCCUCAAGAUGAUUUGAUUAAUUUUGACCGAAGCUAUCCGGAGACUCCAUAUGAGAGUUAUCCCCCCUUUUAUAUAUGAUAUAGGUGAUAUGCAUUUCUAACUGGUAAACCAUAAGUGAUAGAGACCUAGGGUCUUUUUGAUUUAAGAUCCUUGGUCCAAAAAAAAUGAAAAUUAGGUCAAGGUCAAAGGUCAAGGUCAAAUUCUAAAUUUUGAUUUUGGCUUAUUUUCACUUAUUUUCAUUAACCUUAUAAGAUAUCGACAAAUUAUUUUUACUAAAUUGUUAGUUGCGACAUGUCGUAACUUAUAAAUUUUGGUUGCAAGGGUGCGUAGACAAUAAACGGGAGUUUUCGCCCCUCUUAUAUUUAGAAUUAUGCGUAAAGUGAUAUUACUCAUGAACCAUACAUAUUAAGGAACUAGUGUCUUUUGAUUCGAGAUGUUUAGUCUAUGACCUUGAAAUUGAGGUCAAGGUCAAAGGUUAAUUGGACGUUCUAGAUUUUGACCUUUGCUUUAAAUUCAUAUUUAUACAUCAUAAAGCCAUAGGAACUGACAUUUUCAACUGAAUUUUAAUAUUUUCAUAUCAAAAUAGAUCUUUAUUAGUUGAAAGACCUUCAAUUGUUCUUUGAACAAUUGGUUUUUAAUUAUUUUUUUUUUUCUUCCGCCAAAUUUUUUUUCCUUCACUGUUUUUUUUUUUCCCAAGAUGUCGCUUAGAUAUAUGGUAUAUGAUAUCGAACAGUUAAUACGCUUCUGAAACUGACACCGCGUAACAAAAAACUUUACCUUGUAAGAGUUAUCUCCCCGAACACUGUUUUUCUUGUUAUCUCUAAGGCUUCUCAACCGUAUAAGAAACCGACAAAUUUAUUUUUCCAAAUUGCUCGUUAUAUCCUCAGGAUGUUCUGUUUUAUUUUGACCGAAGCUAUCCGGAGACUCCAUAUGAGCGUUAUCCCCCUUUUGUAUAUGAUAUAAGUGAUAUGCAUUUCUAACUGGUAAACCAUAAGUGAUAGAGACCUAGGGUCUUUUGAUUUAAGAUCCUUGGUCCAAAAAAAUGAAAAUUAGGUCAAGGUCAAAGGUCAAGGUCAAAUUCUAAAUUUUGAUUUUGGCUUAUUUUCACUUAUUUUCAUUAACCUUAUAAGAUAUCGACAAAUUAUUUUUACUAAAUUGUUAGUUGCGACAUGUCGUAACUUAUAAAUUUUGGUUGCAAGGGUGCGUAGACAAUAAACUGGAGUUUUUGCCCCUCUUAUAUUUAGAAUUAUGCGUAAAGUGAUAUUACUCAUGAACCAUACAUAUUAAGGAACUAGUGUCUUUUGAUUCGAGAUGUUUAGUCUAUGACCUUGAAAUUGAGGUCAAGGUCAAAGGUUAAUUGGACGUUCUAGAUUUUGACCUUUGCUUUAAAUUCAUAUUUAAACAUCAUAAAGCCAUAGGAACUGACAUUUUCAAUUGAAUUUUAAGAUUUUCAUAUCAAAAUAGAUCUUUAUUAGUUGAAAGACCUUCAAUUGUUCUUUGAACAAUUGGUUUUUAAUUAGGUCUUUCAACCUUUCAGUUGAAAGACCUAUAGGUUUUGUUCUGAUUAUUAUUAUUAUUAUUAGGUCUUUCAACCUUUCAGUUGAAAGACCUAUAGGUUUUGUUCUGAUUAUUAUUAUUAUUAUUAUUAUUUUUUUUUUUCUUCCGCCACAUUUUUUUUCCUUCGCUGUUUUUUUGUUUCGCAAGAUGUCGCUUAGAUAUAUGGUAUAUGAUAUCGAACAGUUUAUACGCUUUUGAAACCAACUCUGCUUAACUGCAUACUUUCCCAAAUAAGAGUUAUCUCCCCGAACACUGUUUUUCUUGUUAUCUCUAAGGCUUCGCAACCGUAUAAGAAACCGACAAAUUUAUUUUUCCAAAUUGCUCGUUAUAUCCUCAGGAUGUUCAGUUUUUUUUUGACCGAAGCUAUCCGGAGACUCCAUAUGAGCGUUAUCCCCCCUUUUGUAUAUGAUAUAAGUGAUAUGCAUUUCUAACUGGUAAACCAUAAGUGAUAGAGACCUAGGGUCUUUUGAUUUAAGAUCCUUGGUCUAAAAAAAUGAAAAUUAGGUCAAGGUCAAAGGUCAAGGUCAAAUUUUAAAUUUUGAUUUUGGCUUAUUUUCACUUAUUUUCAUUAACCUUAUAAGAUAUCGACAAAUUAUUUUUACUAAAUUGUUAGUUGCGACAUGUCGUAACUUAUAAAUUUUGGUUGCAAGGGUGCGUAGACAAUAAAUGGGAGUGUUCGCCCCUCUUAUAUUUAGAAUUAUGUUUAAAGUGAUAUUACUCAUGAACCAUACAUAAUACAGACCAAGGGUCUUUUGAUUUGGGAUCCUUGGUUUAUGACCUUGAAAUUGAGGUCAAGGUCAUAGGUUAAUUGGACGUUCUAGAUUUUGACCUUUGCUUGAAAUUCAUAUUUAUACAUCAUUAAGCCAUAGGAACUGACAUUUUCAACUGAAUUUUAAUAUUUUCAUAUCAAAAUAGAUCUUUAUUAGUUGAAAGACCUUCAAUUGUUCUUUGAACAAUUGGUUUUUAAUUAUUAUUAUUAUUAUUUUUUUUCUUCCGCCAACUUUUUUUUCCUUCGCUGUUUUUUUUGUUCGCAAGAUGUCGCU
rnacentral:lncRNA from 1 species